rnacentral:rRNA from 1 species
AGAGUUUGAUCCUGGCUCAGGAUGAACGCUAGCGGCAGGCUUAAUACAUGCAAGUCGUGGGGCAGCAUGGUGUGUAGCAAUACACACUGAUGGCGACCGGCAAACGGGUGCGGAACACGUACGCAAUCUACCCAUAACUGGGGCAUAGCCCGGGGAAACCCGGAUUAAUACCUCGUAACAUCAUGAAGUGGCAUCGCUUUAUGAUUAUAGCUCCGGCGGUUAUGGAUGAGCGUGCGGCUGAUUAGGUAGUUGGCAGGGUAACGGCCUACCAAGCCUACGAUCAGUAACUGGUGUGAGAGCACGACCAGUCACACGGGCACUGAGACACGGGCCCGACUCCUACGGGAGGCAGCAGUAAGGAAUAUUGGGCAAUGGACGCAAGUCUGACCCAGCCAUGCCGCGUGGAGGAUGAAGGCCCUCUGGGUUGUAAACUUCUUUUAUGGGGGACGAAACCCCGGAUUUUUAUCCGGCCUGACGGUACCCCAGGAAUAAGCACCGGCUAACUCCGUGCCAGCAGCCGCGGUAAUACGGAGGGUGCAAGCGUUAUCCGGAUUCACUGGGUUUAAAGGGUGCGUAGGCGGGUUUGUAAGUCAGUGGUGAAAUCCCGAAGCUUAACUUCGGAACUGCCGUUGAUACUACAGGUCUUGAAUACUCGGGAGGUGAGCGGAAUAUGUCAUGUAGCGGUGAAAUGCUUAGAUAUGACAUAGAACACCGAUUGCGAAGGCAGCUCACUACAGAGUCAUUGACGCUGAGGCACGAAAGCGUGGGGAUCAAACAGGAUUAGAUACCCCGGUAGUCC